rnacentral:lncRNA from 1 species
UCUGGUAUGUGCAAAGCUGGAUUUGCCGGAGAUGAUGCACCAAGAGCAGUGUUUCCAUCAAUUGUUGGACGUCCUCGUCAUCAGGUUGGUAUUUGAGACUUUUUAUUUUCAAAUCUGAAUACUUCCAUCCUCAAAUUCACAUUUAUAAGUAACUUACUUGCCACGAGUCAUUAAGUUGACUUGAUGUCACCAAAAGUAACUAAACACCCACCAGUUUAUCUGAUAAAGAAAAUAUUUUGAUUUUCAACUGUCAAACUAUGGAGCAUUGUUUUUCGUUGCCGUAAUGCGAGUUAUUCCCCUUUGUCGCCAUCUUUUAAAGAACAACGUGCUCGCUGUCUUUCAUGACACAAAUCAGUCAAAUUCAACUGGUUUUUAUAGUACACUGUAACAGAUUUAUAACGCUAGACUUACGAGAAACAUUUUUUAUUUGGUAUAGCCUAAUGCAGCAACCAUUUGAUUUUCUGGGGGGGGGGCUAUGGUUUUUUUUUCUGGACAAAUUAUUUUUUUCGCGACAAGUCGCAACAAUUUUUUUCUUUUCAAUUUUAGCAUUACAUAUAGUGGCAGCUGAGGGUGAAACAAACCCCCCCCCCCCCCCAGAAAAUCAAAUGGUUGCUGCCUAAGCCCUUGUAAUUACGAAUUAUUCUAGAUUAGAUUUGUUUGAGACUUGCCAAGCUGCUUGCACAAGUUGCAGCCUGUAGCAUGGCAUGUUUUUAUGUUGGAAAAAGUGGGGGGGGGGAGGGGGGUAUAGGGGACAGGAACAUUUGAAAAUAAUAUGUCUGGUAUUAAAAGAUAUGAAAAUUCCCAAAUAGAAUGUUUGUUUAAUUUCUGUAAGAUAAAGUCCAAGGAAUAAUUGUGUACAAGAUUGUUAAUAUAUAUAUCAUAUCUCUGUGUGUCAAAAGGAACUUGCGUUUUGCAAUUAUUGGCAUUGCUAUUAAUAUAACUUUUUAAAGACUUUGAUAUUCUUUGGGGGGGGGGGGGGGAGGUAGGUAACAUAAAUGUAAUCUAUAUGAACAUGAAUGACAUUCUUCGUCUGAAAUAUAUAAAGGCUAUGAGCUAUAAUUAGUAUAUUAAUGCCCUACAUAUGAUCAACAGUGCUUACAUAUUAUUUAUUAUCACAAAUCCAAAAAGACCUUACGAAGAAAAAACAUGGCGGAUAGUUUUGUGUGCUUCUUGCCUAUCUUGGUCCAAUUUAAAUUAAAUGCCGAUCAUCAGAAUAAUAUACAUCGUAAUACUAAUGAACUUUUAAUUAAUAAUCAUAGUGUAAUAGGAUAUUGAUUUAUUCACGCACUGCCUCGUCAAAUCAAUUAUUCAAUAAAUGACUGGUCAAUCUCCCCUGAAUGUGUUGUCUUGGUUAAUAAUUUGAUAGAUUGAGUGAUUGAUUGUUGAUUGCUUAACAUGAUGAAAAAUUUUGUCCUGCAUUUUUUUUUAGUUGUAAUCUCUGUCCUGCCUUUUUAUUUUUCACUCUAUUCGGUCCGGCCUUUUUUUUAUUAGUUUAUCCUGACUUUUUUUACCUAAAUUGUCAUCCUGCCUUUUUUUUUGCAAAGUGUCUCAUCCUGCCUUUUUUUUACUCAAAACUCCUGUCCUGCCUAUUUUUUUUUUUCAAAUUUCAUCCUAGCCCCCCCCCCCCUCCCCCCAUAAAAAUCAAAUGGUAGCUCCCUAAUGAGAGCACGUACUAGUUUUUACAGUAUUAAUAUCUGGUGGAAUCACGGUAGGUAUGGUUGUCCUGCGAGAGAACGUACUGUGCUGGUGAUUCGGUCCUGACGGUGCUGGUGAUCAAUGAAAAAAUGUAAACAAAGACGAAAAUGAUGAUUUUUUGACGUUUUCACUAAUAAAAAAUGGAAGAAAACAGUUGAGAUUUUUUAAUUUCGUUUCUUAUGGGUUCAUAUAUAAACCAUUAAAAAAAUUGACCCUCUAAACUGUUUCAGUAAGCGUAACACAAAAAUGCUCAUUUUCAGAAAAUCUCGAACUGAAAAAAUAAACAAAAAUGCUCAUAGAAGUCCGCUUUCUAUACCGCAAUCCACACGACAAAACAAUUUUGUGAAAAACAUUGCAAUUUCUUAAAAUUUAGCAUUUUCUCAAUUUAUGCAUGUCCUGAUACUGUGCUGGUGGUCCUGUCAUUGUGCUGGUGGUCCUGAUACGGUGCCGGUGAUUUUGGAUAAGAAGUUGGUCAUAUUUGAAACAAUGUUACAAAAUCAAUAAAAUUGGGCAGAUAAUUGUUGCCAACAGGAUCUAUGACUCCUAUUUUAGCUCUUGUGCAUCCAUUUGGCUGUUUAAUAUGUGUUUUCAAAUGACUUAACUUGUAUUACAUAAUAACAUAAAAGGGCAACAUCUUUCGUCCAAUAUCAGAUAACAAUAUAUACUAUCUAAAAUAAGUUAAAAAUUCACAAUACUAUAUAAUUCAUUUUAUGUGUCAAUUUGUUCGAAAAAAGUCGAAAAGAAGAGAGUUUAAGUUAAUGUCAUGAUUAUCUGUCGCUUUCUAGAUCUAUGCUUAGCAUUUAUUUCAGAUGACAUGGACUCUUCACCCUGAUGACCUGCUGCCUUUCAUAACUUCAUCCGUAUACAUAUAUUAAUAGAUAAACGAAAGGCUGCAAACUGGUAUUUUUGUAUUUAAAAUGAUUCGUUGUAACGAGAAUAUUUGUGUGAAUGGAAACUGUGAGGGUCAAAAUCUUAAAUUGCUUAUACAUGUUGCUGGACCUAGUUUCGUUAUCUGAUCCGAAUUUUCUGAAAUGUGCAAGGUAGAUAGACAUUUUGAUUUGUUUACUCGGUAAUGACCCUUGUGUUGAUCCCAUGGUAAACAUAACAAAAAUCUCUGUACAAAGGUCUGUGAAUUUUCUACAAAAAUAGUGAUUUUAUUUUCACUAAAUUCUCUUUUUCUACUAAAUACAAUAAUGAACUAUAAUAAAUAAUAAUGCUUGCAAGAAGUUUCCCCCUUGAUAUAUGCACAUUUCGUAAUUGACAUUGUCAUAAACCGUAACGAAAAGAUAAAAUAUUGAUAUAAGUACUUAAUUUGCAUCUUUGACCCCCCACCCGGCUUGUUUUUUAGGAGCCUGGGUGUCUAAAAAUGGUCGAUUACAGACAGCCGAGUACGCAUUUUUACUUUCCAGGCGUGUUUAUGUUUUUUAAAUAUAAAUUAAGGCUACAUUUUAAUAUAAUAAUUCUAUGAAUUCACAAUAUAAAAAAAUGCAGAAAAAAAAUGAAUGAAGUGAAAUAUCUUAGUAAGGAGUCAUAACUACAGAGAUGGUGUGUUUUGACACCACAAAACUUAAAAGCUUAGUGAUAUUACCAAUAUUAAAAAAAAUUUUAGUUGGGUAUUUUUUCCAUUUACUCAUUUUCAAUUAUAAUCAAGGCACAUUUGAUUUUUAUUCAUGAAAAUAUUUAAAUAUAGAAAAGUAGGACACAUUGUUUCACUUCCUCCCCCGUAAUUCUUAUCAAAAAUAUUUAUUUUGAAAUGAAAAAGCUAAGAAAUCUUAGGUUUUUUAGUGUUUUUCUAGGUUAUCUCGUCUUCAUUCUCUGACAUAUUCUAGCUUGCCCUUUCAUAAAAUAGUGAUUUUUUUAGUGUUUUAUCGAAUUUUCGAAAAACAAAUACAUGAUAACCGCUUAGACAAAAAAAAAUAUGUUGGAAAAAUCUUACAGCAAGUGAUUCUUAAUAGCUAUAGCCUCGGUCACACCUUACCGGAUAGCUCGAACGGACGCCUAACGGAUAAAAAAAAAGUUAUCCGUUGACAAAAUUUGUAUCUGUUGGGAGUCCGUUGGUGUACUAACGAACAUGUAACGAAUGCCAAACGGACACACAACGGACACUGAACGUACGUGAAACGGAUACGUACCGGACAGAAUGGACGUCGAACGUACAUCCAACGGACGAGUACCGGAUAAAACAGACACCGCUAUGGAAGCGUAACGGAUAAAACGGAUGAACAAAUAAUCUGAAAAUUAAAGGCAAUAAACCAUCUAAAAAUUAAAGGCAAUAAACCAUGAGAAAUUUCAAUUGGCAUUUGUCCAUUUUACAUCCGGUAGUCAUCCGUUUUAUCCGUUAUCCUUCCGUUAAUAUCCGUUUUACAUCCUUUGUUUAUCCGUUAGGCGUCGGUAGACAUCCGUUGGUGAAUGGGUCUACCGGAUCUCCAACGGAUGCAUAACGGAUACGUAACGGAUACAAAACGGACGAGUACCGUACAAAAACGGAUGCCUAACGGACGUUCAACGGACAUUUUAUCCGUUUGGACGUCCGUUCAAAGUUUGAACAUGCUCAAAAUUUUCCACCGGACAGAACGGACGUCAACGGAUAAAACGGACAUGCAACGGAUAUGGACGGACGCCUAACGGAUAAGAACGGACGUCCAACGGACAUGAACGGAUUGAGAAAAAUUUAUCCGUUAGGCGUCCGUUCGAGCUAUCCGGUAAGGUGUGACCAGGCUAAUAUAAGAUACAUUUUUCUUUUACAAUCCACCUUUAAAAUUUUACGGGAAACUAUUCCAAGCUUUCACAGUAACCUCGCUUUAACUUAUCCCCCUCCCUCCCACCCUCCCCCAAAAAAACACCAAACAACAAACCCGCAAUACUAUUGUCAUUCUAUAGUCAACACUCAAUUGUUCACAAACAAAUGUGUUUAAGCUGCUAAAGACAUGAUUCAAACGCUCAGAAAGUCCUUUGUUCUAUAUUUAUGCAAAACUUUCACAUUUUUAUUUUAUGGGUUAUUGUUGAAGGUCGUACGAUGACGUAUGGUUGUUAACACAUACUUCCUUUGGUUUCUUAUGGAAAUUUGUCCAUUGACAACAAACAUACCACAUCAUCUACAUUAUAUUAAGUAUUGUAUAAAUUACAACGUAUUUUGGUGAUCUUGCAAAAUGAUCGUAGUCCCGAAAAUCGUAAAUAUUUUCUUAUCUUAAAAGGGGCAAGAAGGGUUCCAUUACAGGCCAUAAAUAUAGAUUACAGUUAAUUAUUUUUUUUUUUUUUUAAUAGGGGUAUUUUUUCUUUCAUAUAAUAAACAGAUUCACAGCAAUGCCAAUUUCAAGAAAGCAGACCAUUAGUCAACAACAACAAAGCAUCACUGCUCUUGAAUAUAUGCCACUUUUAACUAAAAUAAAAAGCACAGAACCAGACAUAGGAGCACAGAAAAGGACCGUUUUUCUUAUCACCAGCACAGCGUCAGGACAAUUCCGUUUUAACGAACUUGCACGACUUUUGCAAUAUAAUAUUGUUGUAAUAUACUUUGCAUGGUACUUAUGACACAUCAGAGAAAAUUAGCAACAAAACAGUCGUUUUAUUGCCGUUCUGAUACAUGUAAACAAACCCACCACACAGAUCAGGACCCACCAGCACCGUCAGGACCAAAUCACCAGCAAGUACUUCCUCGGCAGGACAACCAUACCCACCGUGGGAAUGUGAAUAGAUUUAAUACGUUCUUUGCUCACCCUGUGUCGUAUGAAAGUAUUGUUGUCAUCCUCAGCCUAAGCUAUUGUUACGUAAAUUUGAAUUUCAAAAUGACCGAGUGACGUGUUUUUAUGCACUGGCCAACUCCACUACCAUAGCGAAUUACAUGAUUUUAACAAUCAAUAAAUACCUUUAUAAGUUAAGAAUUGUCGCAUACAAAUUAAAUACACUAGUCUAGAAAUGGCAAAGUUUACUACGGAAGCGUAUUAGGGACAUAGAAAAAAUAAAAUUGGCAGUGAACUUUUUUUCAAAGUCGAAAUUUGACUUUUCAAAUCUCGAAAAUUUUGACUUAACUUGAAAAUUUUGACUUUUCAAAUCGAAAUUUUUACAUAAACUUGAAAUUUUGACUUUCAAAAAUCGUGAAAUUUCGACUUUUUGAAAAAGUCGAAAUAUUGACUUUUUUGAAACUCGAAAUUUCGACUUACAAAAAGUCGAAAUUUUCACUUUAAACUCGAAAUUUCGACUUUUUUUAACUCAAAAUUUCGAUUUUUUUAAACUCAAUAUUUCGACUUUUUUAAACUCAAAAUUCGACUUUUAAAAACUCAAAAUUUCGACUUAUUUUAACUCGAAAUUUAACUUAUUAAAUUCAAAUUUCGACUUUUUUAAAACUCGAAGUUUUGACUUAUUUUAAACUCGAAAUUUUCAACUUAUUUAAACUUCAAAUUUCGACUUUUUUUUUAAACUCAAAAAUUUCGAUUUUUUUUUACAAUCGAAAUUUCGACUUUGAUCCCUUUUAAAACUUUGAUGUUAGUAUUCAAACACAGUUAUUACAAUUUUAGAAGGAAAAGACAUGGACGCAAAUUAUUAAAGCGUCAUCAACACAUUUUGGCAAUUUAUAUUUUGAAAUAGCUUUUGUUCCAUGUUUUAGUUCCCACGACACUGUAUAGAAUCGUCAUAUCUGAGAACAUAUAGCAUCGCAGUUUCAAAGGCCUGUUGGUUUCCCAAUGCAAUCACUGACUUUGCCUUGUUUAAACAAUGGUAAAUCAAGUAGCCAAAAAUGCCAUGCAUAUUCAGGACGACAAAAUGAGCUGCUCGGUUUUCUAGUUUUGGAAUUUUGAAAUGAAUAAAUUGUUCUUUUUUUGGGAAUAUUGAUUAAACUCUACAAGUUGACAUUCUUAGUUUAAACAUAUUUAUUUACAAGUUGACAUUCUUAUGACACAACUAUUAACCCUUGUCUUUAUAUAUCAGACUUGAAUAAAGUUCUCGUAUCAUGCGUGUAUCGGAAUAACGGUUGUCUGAUACAAUACUGAAGUCAGACUUGAAAUAUGCAUUUGAACGUAAACAUUUUAUUUAUUCUUCGGCAAGAAUAAGUUUUCUAUCUAAAAUAACCUCUUUUAAAUGUUUAGUUUAUUAAAUUGCUUAUAAGUUAUGAUGUAUAUGGCUUCCGCUGCUGAUAUAAAUGACUGUGAAUGUGGUAAUCGCACGUUAAAUACUAAGGAAAAUUCGAAUUUUGAGUUAAAACAAGUCGAAAUUUUGAGUUAAAAAGAAGUGACAAUUCGAGUUAGAAAAUAGAAUUCAGUUUUAAAAAAGUCGAAUUUUGAGUUAAGUCAAAAUUUCGACUUUUUAUAAAGGCAAAAUUCGAAUUUAAAGUCAAAAUUUCGACUCUUGAAAAGUCAAAAUUUCAAGAUAAGAAAAGUAAAAUUUCGAGUUUAAGUCGAAAUUUUAAGAUUUGAAUGUAAAAUUUCGACUUUGAAAAAAAAGCUGCACUGCAUUUUAUUUUUCUUGUCCCUAAUACGCUUCCGUAGUUUACGAAGUCUAACCUAAUUAAUCAUUUUACUAUCAAUCGCAUUCAAAAAAACUAAAAAAUGAAAAUUUCAGUUUAAAAACGUUAAAAAUUAAUAAGAAUGCGAAGUCAUAUGUUAUAGACUAUAUUUUACUAUAUCAUGUAUGUCCAGUGGCAUGUUCAUAUUUCUCCAAAAUGCUUUUUACCAUUAACGUGAAACUCUAUAAUAUUAUAGAGCAAACUAAUGGGGUGGGGGGCUCACAAGUUUUCUUUGUAAUAAUGCUUAAUUCCUAUGGUGCAAACUUUAAUGCAAUUUUUACUGGCUGUAAAUAUCACUUGUCAGAACAUCAACAGGCCAAUUAUCCAUAUAUAGUCAUAAUGACAUAUAUGUAUGCAGGUAGGUCGAAGAUGUUCAAUCAGGGGUGAAAAACAAUAUGCAACAACUAUUUUUAAAGUUCAUCGUAACAAUUAUCUCUGGCUGUUAGUUUAAUAAUAAAAAUAAGACGUUGCGUAUUUGUGUGUAUAUUUCACAUAUCUGACAUUUAAUAAGAAAAACGUACGAUUAUGGUUUAGGAAUACAUUUAAAUUUAAAUUAAUGAGUCUCCUCAUGGAGUUUUUGAUUAUGAAAUUACUUGGCCAUUUUUAUAGUGAUUGUUUGAUUUAUCUCUUGGUUUAUAAGAAAAUAAAUAAUGAUUCUGUGAUUAUAAUGGCAAAAAAUGUGAUUAUGUCAUUACUUGGACAUCCCCAUGAUAGGGCAUUUAUAACCUGUCAAAUUCAUGACCACCGACAAGACCUAAAUUUUCAUAUUUUCUUUAUAACAUACUAUGGCGAAUAUCCAAAAUUACAAAAAAAUGUCCAACAGAAACAAUUAAAAAUACAUGUGCUCGCUAAAAUGUACCAGCAUUUCGUGCGUAUUUUUAGACCAGACGCUCUCAGACGCCACCUUAUUAUCCAUCGUUUUUACCUCCGAAGACUUCCGACGGUAUUAUAACCCGAUAUAAAUAUCAAUGAAAAUAGAUAGCGAGCACGUGCAAUCGGAUUUUCUAGGUAUGUGUGAUGUCAAUGUAUCAUGUUAUAUUUAAAAAUUAUGUGUAAAUCAUCGUGUAAUAGUUAUUUUUUUCAAGAUGUCCUCGAAUAGGAAAACAAAACUAUUUUUUACAACCAAAUGUCAAAGGACUAGAAUCUUCCUUCUGUUUAAGUGGUAUAAAAAUUGGAAUGUUUUGCCAAAUUAUUUUAAAAAAAAUGAGCGUCUUAGGCGUCUAGACUCAAAUCUUAGCAUGAAAGCUGGUAUCAAUCGGAUGAGUAAUGUCCUUUUCAAAUGAUUUCUGUAGUUUCAAUUGUUUUUGUGUUGUUACACAAGUCAACUGUCCCAGGUUAUACUUAUAGUGCCUAGUGGGUAUUGGGUUUUGCUCUUUGAAGUCAGUACAGUGAUAUACUUUACAGUUGCUUUUUUUUUACGUCAUCAUGCGAAGAGCUGACUCGUCAAUAUAUUCACAUCUAAUUGUUAUAUAUUUAUUAACGAAAUGCACAUUAAGGUGAUAUCUUACAUUUUUAUAAGUUUCUCUAUAUUUUUUUCAGGGAGUAAUGGUUGGAAUGGGCCAGAAAGAUUGCUAUGUAGGAGAUGAAGCACAAAGUAAAAGGGGCAUCCUCACUUUGAAAUAUCCAAUUGAACAUGGUAUCGUCACAAACUGGGAUGAUAUGCAGAAGAUCUGGCAUCACACAUACUACAACGAACUUAGAGUUGCCCCGGAGGAACACCCAACAUUACUCACAGAGGCUCCGCUCAAUCCAAAAGCCAACAGAGAAAAGAUGACACAAAUUAUGUUUGAAACUUUCAACACGCCUGCCACAUAUGUAGCCAUACAAGCUGUACUGUCAUUAUACGCGUCUGGUAGAACCACAGGGAUGGUGCUAGACUCGGGUGAUGGUGUCACACAUACGGUUCCCAUCUAUGAAGGUUAUGCACUUCCUCAUGCUAUUCUCCGUCUAGAUUUAGCUGGGCGAGACUUGACCGAUUAUCUGGUGAAGAUCUUAACAGAGAGGGGAUAUUCGUUCACAACUACCGCUGAAAGAGAAAUUGUAAGAGAUAUAAAGGAAAAGCUUUGUUAUGUGGCUUUAGAUUUCGAACAAGAAAUGUCCACCGCGGCGUCUUCAUCGUCGCUAGAAAAGAGCUACGAACUGCCAGAUGGACAAGUUAUUACAAUUGGAAAUGAAAGAUUCAGAUGCCCAGAGGCUGUGCUUCAGCCAUCCUUUUUGGGUAUGGAGUCUGUCGGAAUUCAUGAAACUACGUACAACUCUAUAAUGAAAUGUGAUGUGGAUAUUCGAAAAGAUCUGUAUGCCAACACUGUCCUGUCAGGAGGGUCCACGAUGUAUCCCGGUAUUGCCGACAGAAUGCAGAAAGAAAUCACCUCUUUGGCACCAAGCACCAUGAAAAUUAAAAUCAUUGCACCUCCUGAGAGAAAGUAUUCCGUAUGGAUAGGAGGAUCAAUUUUAGCCUCGCUCUCGACUUUCCAGCAGAUGUGGAUUAGCAAACAAGAGUACGACGAGGCAGGACCAAGUGUCGUGCAUAGAAAAUGUUUCUAGACCGAUAUUUUAAGGGACAGAAAUAGCUUUGCGCAUGACCGAUAUUAUGUAACAGAAGAAUUUUAAAAUAGAUAAAGAAAUGUAAUAUAUAUCAUCAAACUGUAAAACAUUAGAAUGAAUUAUAUAACAAAUUGUAUUGAUGUGUGACAUUGUGUUAUUGUUUUAAUUUUGUGUGAUUCAAAAGUUCUUUUAAAAUAUUAGAAAUUCACUUGACCUGGUUUACAGUUGUUAUACAGAAAUAUUGACAAGUUAAGGCUCAAUUAUUAUUAAGAAAGAAAAGAAGAAGGGGCUAUACAAUUUUAUAAACGAUACACUUACAUAUUACUCUUUUACAUUUAAAGCACUUUUUUAGUUCACCUGGCCCAACAUACCAAGUGGGCGUCCGUUGUUAACCGUGGCUUUUACAAAAACCUUCUCUACUUAAAAGUGACCAAAGUUGAUCAAACUUAUUCGCAAUCAAUAUUGGGGUUUCUGUAUUUUUCGAUGACUCGGCCCACCAACCAAGAUGGCCGCCAUGGCUACAAAUAGAACAUAGGGAGUAAAAUGUUGUUUUGGUUUCUAUCUCCGAAACCAAAGCUUUUAGAGCAAACAUGACGUGAGAAAAUUGUUCAUCUUGUUGGCCUGAAAUUUUCAGAAUAAUCAGACUACCCUGAGGCCCUGUUUUUUGGUUUGCUGCCCCUGAAUUAGUAAUUUUAAGUACAUUUUGCAGUAUUUUGUUAUUAUGAAUAUUAUUAUAUAUAGAGAAAACUGAACAGCAAUUGUGUACAGCUAAGUAUGAUCCACAAAUAACUUAAGGUCAACUUUACCAAAUUGGACAAUCGACCCCUUAAAAGAGUUAUUGCCCUUAUAGUAAAUGUUUAACAAUUUUUUGUAAUCUUAACAAAAAUCUUCUAAAACUAAACUACAGAGACAAAUUGAACCAAACUUGACCACACUCAUUUAUAUAAGGGUAUCUUGUUUAAAAAUUUGUGUCCGAUGACCCCGUCUACCAAACAACAUGGUCGAGAUAGCUAAACAGAACUCUUAUAAAUGGAAAAAAUCUGAAAGGAAUAAAAAUGUUCAGAAUAAUAAGCUUUAGUAAUUGUCCAUAUACGUGAAAAAAUAUACUAGGACUAAGGAGUUAUUGCUCAUAAUGGUUUUUUAUACCCCCGCUUUGAAAAAAAGGGGGUAUACUGUUUUACCUCUGUCUGUUCUUCCGUCAGUCCGUCAGUCUUGUCAGUCAGUCCGUCCGUCCCAUGAAUAUUUUUCGUCACAAUUUUUUUUCAGGAACUACACUACCAGGAUUUCUGAAAUUUGGUUUCAGGCUUGAUAUAAGUCAGCUAUACCGUGUGAUGCGUUUUCAGAUUCAUCACUCAACAACUUCCUGUUUACCGAACACUUGUUUGAUUUUACACAUGAUAGCCAAGUUGAAAAUUGUUCGUCACAUUUUUCUCAGGAACUACAAUACAAGGAUUUCUGAAAUUUGGUUUAAGGGUUAAUAUAAGUCAGCUAUACCGUGUGAUGCGUUUUCGGAUUCAUCACUCGACAACUUCCUGUUUACCGAACACUUGCAUAUUUUUACACAAUUACUAUUAUCCACUUGCGGCGGGGGUAUCAUCAGUGAGCAGUAGCUCGCAGUUUCACUUGUUCUUCAUUUUUUUUCCUUUUAUUAUUAUGAAAACUUUAAUGUUUAGAGAGAAACAUUUUUUUCCGUUAUGCCUUAUAUGAUUUAGAUUGUAUUAAUGGAUAAAUAAACGCUUUAAAUUCUAAAAAAAAGAUCAGCAAGGCAUGAUCUAUUAAAAAGUCAAAUUUUGCCGAUAUACUUAGUAGACUCGCUCUUCUGAUGAUUUGUAUGCCCCAUUUAUGGCCAUUAUCUUUUCUGGUCUGUGCGUCCGUUCGAUCUUCCGUCUGUCCCGCUUCAGGUUCAAGUUUUUGGUCAAGGUAGUUUUUGAUGAGGUUGAAGCCAUAUCAACUUGAAACUUAGUACACUUGUUCCAUAUGAUAUGAUCUUUCUAAUUCCAAAUUAGAGCUUUUACCCCAAUUCCACGGUCCACUGUACAUAGACAAAUAGUGUGCUAUUGGGGCAUCCGUGUACUAUGGACACAUUCUUGUUUUAUCCUCUAUUAUGUUUUGAGCAAAAUUUAAAGACGAUAGAGAGAAACUUGACAGACUAAAAGACCAGUACUACAAGAUCAACAACAUGUCAUGAAGUCUAUUCUCGUCUACAAUGUUGGAGAGUUCCUUUGUUUGAAAUGCACAUUAUACAUAGGUGAACGACACAGGCUCUUUACGAUAAGUGAAAAAGAACAAGUCCUAAAAGCUGCACACAAAGUCUUUAAAACUAAACAACACACGAACAUCGAAUUCAUGUGCCUUCCAGAUUCUUCGGGUAAUGCAGAACGCAAAUCAAACCGUACGAAGGUAAAUUUUUUAAAGGGUUUUUUUUUUUUUGGGGGGGGGGGGUCUCAAUUAAAAGGAAACAAUAUGAUAAUGCUUGCCAAAUGUGUCUUAUAUCUUGCUUUUUAAAAAUAUAUAAUAAUGGGAUGUGGUAUGAUUGCAAAUGAGACUGCGCGAAAUUUUAACAUGAGCAACACGAAGGGUGCUUCCCACAUGAAAUCGCCCAAAUGCAAGAUUUUGGUGUGGUUCGUGAUUCCCAACUUUGAUUUUCUAUGUUGUAUUUUGUUAUGGUCCUGUUUCGUCUUUUUGUCGUUUUUUCGCUUUUUGCCAUGGCAUUUUCAGUUAUUUGUCGAUUUUUGUGUUUGCAUAUCGCUUUGGUAUUUUUAAACGAAAGAGGAGGAGGACAAUUAGUGUCGAACAACAAUUCUGAUUGGAGAUAUGCCUAUGAAAAUUUAAAACAUUACUUACAUUAAUCUUAUUUAUAAAAAUGAAGAUGUGGUAUGAUUGCCAAUGAGACAACUCUCCACAAGAGAACAAAAUGACAGAAAUUAACAAUUAUAGGUCACCGUACGGUCUUCAACAAUCAAUGAGCAAAGACUAUAUCAUAGGUUAUGCUAGCAAUAUCUUCAUUAAUCAAGACUUUUAAAACAGUUAUUGAACAGGAAAGGGAAAUUUAAUGGAGUAAGGGUCCUUGGACAGAUAAGUUAUACAUGUACGGAGACUUCGGAUUUUUAAGAACCUUUAAUCUAAAGUAACUGCUCGAUUCCGUCAAGAAAAAAAUGUUGCAUAAAUUUUUCUUGUGUCUUUUAACCGGAAUGAUUUACUAUUUUCGAAGUUUUAUAAUAAUGUUGGGAUGUAUUAUGGUAUACCGUUGUCCGUCUGUUCGUCUGUCGUCAACAUGUCAGACAAUAACUCAAAAAUGCUUGAACCAAUUUGCAUGAAACUAUAAUAUAUCUAUUGACUUGAGCUCCCUUUUGAUUUUUAAAUUUUUUAGAAAUUACAUUUCUGAGUUAUGGGGUUUUAUUCAUUAUAAAAAAUGGGGAAAGUUUUCGGACAAUAACUCAAAAAUGCUUUCAGCAGAUUUCAUUAGAAGGUUUGGUGAAUUAUUUAUAUAUCUAUUUACGUAAACUCCCUUUGUAUCUUUAUAAUUUUAGAUUUUACGUUUCUUAGCAAUGUGAUUUUAUUCAUAAAAAGGGGUGAUUUUCCAGUUUUUGGACAAUUAUCGUGAAACUUAUGUGAUUUGUUAAUAUUUAUUAAGAUAACCUCUCUUCAGUUUUACAUGAGUUUCUGGUAUGACUUUGAGAACUUAUUGUACUUUAGUCUUUGAAAUGUUGACGGGCGUAUUAUGCGCUCAUAGCGAAGCUGUUUAUUUACAUUUGCUAUGUGCAAACUUCCUGUUUGCCGAUAGUUUGAAAUUUUAAAACACGCAUUGUACAGGGGAAAUAUUCGUCAAAGAUUUCAGGCUUCUAUUGAACGGAAUGAAUUAAUAUUUCGUCUGGUGCUUGAUAAUUGGGUUGUGCCAUUUAGUCACUUCUGUUUGCCGACUUCAUUAAUUGCAUGCAGCGACGGAAGUCCGGACCAAGAUUUUUGUCUUGUUUAAUCAUGUUUAGGCAAAACAUGUACUAGCUAAUUUAAACCACUUUUGUAAACCGUUUCUUCAUAUAUUUUUCAGGGAGUUAUGAUAGGAAUGUGCAAUAAAGAUUGUCAUAUAGGAGAUGAAGCACAAAGUAAAAGGGGCAUCCUCACUUUGAAAUAUCCAAUUGAACAUGGUAUAGUCACAAACUGGGAUGAUAUGCAGAAGAUCUGGCAUCACACAUACUACAACGAACUUAGAGUUGCCCCGGAGGAACACCCAACAUUACUCACAGAGGCUCCGCUCAAUCCAAAAGCCAACAGAGAAAAGAUGACACAAAUUAUGUUUGAAACUUUCAACACGCCUGCCACAUAUGUAGCCAUACAAGCUGUACUGUCAUUAUACGCGUCUGGUAGAACCACAGGGAUGGUGCUAGACUCGGGUGAUGGUGUCACACAUACGGUUCCCAUCUAUGAAGGUUAUGCACUUCCUCAUGCUAUUCUCCGUCUAGAUUUAGCUGGGCGAGACUUGACCGAUUAUCUGGUGAAGAUCUUAACAGAGAGGGGAUAUUCGUUCACAACUACCGCUGAAAGAGAAAUUGUAAGAGAUAUAAAGGAAAAGCUUUGUUAUGUGGCUUUAGAUUUCGAACAAGAAAUGUCCACCGCGGCGUCUUCAUCGUCGCUAGAAAAGAGCUACGAACUGCCAGAUGGACAAGUUAUUACAAUUGGAAAUGAAAGAUUCAGAUGCCCAGAGGCUGUGCUUCAGCCAUCCUUUUUGGGUAUGGAGUCUGUCGGAAUUCAUGAAACUACGUACAACUCUAUAAUGAAAUGUGACGUGGAUAUUCGAAAAGAUCUAUACGCCAACACCGUCCUGUCAGGAGGAUCCACGAUGUAUCCCGGCAUUGCCGACAGAAUGCAGAAAGAAAUCACAUCUUUGGCACCGAGUACCAUGAAAAUUAAAAUCAUUGCACCUCCGGAAAGGAAGUAUUCCGUAUGGAUAGGGGGAUCAAUCUUAGCCUCGCUCUCGACUUUCCAGCAGAUGUGGAUCAGCAAACAAGAGUACGACGAAGCAGGUCCAAGUAUCGUGCAUAGAAAAUGUUUCUAAGCUGUUAUAGGGACAAGCUUAAUGGAA